rnacentral:rRNA from 1 species
UACGUAGGGUGCGAGCGUUGUCCGGAAUUAUUGGGCGUAAAGAGCUCGUAGGCGGUGUGUCACGUCGUUCGUGAAAACCUGCAGCUUAACUGUGGGCGUGCGGUCGAUACGGGCAUCACUGGAGUUCGGCAGGGGAGACUGGAAUUCCUGGUGUAGCGGUGAAAUGCGCAGAUAUCAGGAGGAACACCGGUGGCGAAGGCGGGUCUCUGGGCCGAUACUGACGCUGGAGGAGCGAAAAGCGUGGGGAGCAAACAGG